rnacentral:lncRNA from 1 species
AUGAAGUACAUUCAGCCAGACGAGUGUGAAAGAAGUGUUCAUGAAUCAGAUCACAAAAUACCUCAACUCCAGGAGACCCAGUUGCCCCGACCAGAUGAGCCUUUAGACGAGACCAACCUGAAUGGGUCCAAACCAAAAGUUCCUAUUGAGUCAUUGUCCCACAGCCAGUGGCAGCGCAGCUCUGACCUGACUCCUGAGGCCUGGCAGCAGCAGGUGGACCAACAGCUCCAACAGCAAGAAACCGAGCAGCAGGCAGAGUCUUGGGGCAACCGCAACCUUCCUCAUCACGGUUCACACCAAUCUGACUCCGUCUUUAAAGACAGCAAAACCUUGAUAAUAAAAAACGUGAAGCUCACGACCACAAUAGAAACUAUCCUGAAAGCCUUGGACCCCUUUGCAUAUCUGGAUGAAAGGAAUGUUCGCCUUGUCAAGGCCAAGCCACCAGGAGCCAAGUGUUUCUGCUUUGUUGACAUGGACUCCCAUGAGCAAGUCACACGUCUGGUUGAGCUCCUCACUAAACCCAGACCCCUUUAUAUCGAUGGAGUCAGAGUUUAUGCCGAGGUGGCAAAACCUCUGAAGAACCAAAAUUUCAGAAGAGACUUUGAUAAACCAAACAGUUCCAUCCUUGGGAUUCCCCCUGAGCCCAGCAUAAUGGGGCAGCCGUUCCCACAACCUCCACAGUAUUUGCAACCUCUGCAGCCACCCGCUAGUGCCUCCGCCGGAAUGCAAGGUGAUUUGACUAUUACUACUACUACUAAUCCUGCUCUGUCAGCUCUAUCGGCUCUGUCAUCAGACCCCAGCAUUGGACAGGGAGUUUGCUUAAGCGAGACUCCAGCUGUGGAUCCGUCGUUCCAGGCUAGUGGACCCCAUGUGCCCACAGAAUCAGCUGCAACGACCGCAGACGGAUCGCAGCCCUACAUCUAUGGUGAGGAACAUAUCAAGCAUGACACCAACCCAGUCGCUGCAAGUAACAUGUAAUCAAAUGAUAUGAAAUUAUUUAUUGAUUAAAGAUGAGUUUGGGUUUUACA